GCUGGGGUAGCUCAGAUGGCUAGAGCGCCUGACUGUGGAUCAGGAGGUCGGGAGUUCGACCCUCCCCCCCAGUA
rnacentral:tRNA from 1 species